rnacentral:rRNA from 1 species
UACGGGGGGGGGCAAGCGUUGUUCGGAAUUACUGGGCGUAAAGGGCUCGUAGGCGGCCAACUAAGUCGGAUGUGAAAUCUCCAGGCUCAACUUGGGAACUGCAUCCGAUACUGGAUGGCUUGAAUUCGGGAGAGGGAUGCAGAAUUCCAGGUGUAGCGGUGAAAUGCGUAGAUAUCUGGAGGAAUACCGGUGGCGAAGGCGGCAUCCUGGACCGACAUUGACGCUGAUGAGCGAAAGCUAGGGGAGCAAACGGG